GGAAGUUAUUUCUUUUAAAAAAAAUUAACUUUUGGAUCUGAAAAGGGAAAAAUGAAAGAAAAGUUAUAGAGGUGCAAAAUAAAAGUUAAGGCGGUGGAGGAAGAAACUGCCCACUUUCUGUUUGGUUGGUACGUGCUUCGGACUAAUAUUUUUCCUGCAGCACCCCAAUUCUUCCCUACACCUCAUUUGAUUUUCUUUACAGAAAUACCCUUUAACUUUUACAUUUUUAAAACCCUAAUCUCUUGUUUCCCUCUUACAUCCUUUCUAUUUUCCUCUUUCGCACAUUUUCCUUUCUGAUUAGAGUAUCAUUGUGCUUUCUCCAUUUCACUCUUUUACGUACUUUGGUUCGUCAUUUUUGUUUAGUUUAUUUCGUCUUCAAAUUCGUUGGUUCAUUUUCUUGUAUAUUCUCCUUUUCAAUCUUUUCGAUUCAUGUUAUUAAUGUUUAUUUGAUGUUUGUUUGCAUGUGAUGUUCUCGUAUGUAUAUUUAGUUACAGGAUGAAUCUGUGAACAUAUACAUAAUCAUUGUAUUAUGAUUUGAUGUGAUUAAUUUGUAAAAGAAAACGU
rnacentral:lncRNA from 1 species